rnacentral:lncRNA from 1 species
UCCCAAAUGUGGGAAAGAAUAGAGACACUUCAUAUUUCUAUUUCCUCUUUUCCACAUAUAGUUGAUUUAAAAGUAAAAUGAAAAGUAAAAGCAAAAUCACUCCAAGUCCACCGAAAAUUCAAAUAUCCCUUUUACUGCAUUGCGAGGCAUCACAGAACGAAGGCCAUCGUGAUUCAGCAACUGCACUCCUGGGUAUCUAUCCAGAGAAAACCACAAUUCAAAAAGAUACAUGCACCCCAGUGUUCACUGCAGCGCUAUGUACAAUAGCCAAGACAUGGAAGCAACCUAAAUGCCCAUCAACAGAGGAACGGAUAAAGCAGAUGAGGUACACACAUACAAUGGAAUAUUAGUCAGCCAUAAAAAAGAAGAAAAUAAUAUACUUCCGCCAACAUGGAUGGACCUAGAGAUUAUCACAUUGAACAAAGGAAGUUAGAGAAUGACAAAUAUCAUAUGAUGUCACUUAUAUGUGGAAUCUAAUCAAAAUGAUACAAAAGAACUUAUUUAUACAACAGAAAAAUUCACAGAUGUCAAAACCAACCUAAUGGUUACCACAGGUGAAACCUUUGAGGAGAGGAAAGAUUUGGGAGGGUGAGAAUACUAUAUACACACUGCUGUAUAAAACAGAAGAUUAAUAAGAACCUACCUAGAACCUAGCAGAAGAAUAUCUACUCAAUAGUUUAUGGUAACCUAUUGAGGAAAAAAUAAUGGAUAUAUUUAUAACUGAUUCACUUUGCUGUAUACCUGAAACUAAUAUAACAGUGUAAGUCCACAAUACUCUAAUGAGAUUAAGUUUUAAAAAAGACAAUGCAAUAACCAUGAGUUCUAAUCCUGAUUUUGACACUGACUAUCUAUGCAGGUGACUUAGAGAAGACAUUUGCCUCUUAAAGUCCUGAAUUACUCUACGUAAAAAAGAUAAAUAUUGCAUCUGCCUCACAGGGCUUUUGCAGAAUUAAAUCCUAACACAUGUGUAAAUGUAUAGUUUGACACAUACCCUGGUAAUUGUUCAUUUCCUUUAUUCUUAAUGACUUUCAAGUCUUUUGGCACUUUCCUCAAAAUCCACUUAUUAUAACAAAUUAUACUUUCAUACAUAUAUACAUUAUUUUAUGUAUUAUAAUAACUCUGAUUAUCUAUUCAACAUCCAUUUCCCUCUUCUCCUUUUCCUUUCUAACAGAACCCUGUAUUAUUCAAACCUUCUGCCAUCUACAGUUUCAGAGGUGGAUCCCAAUUAACCUGAAGCUGUGGAUGCAUCAUACUCCUUGGUGAGCAUUACUGAUCUAAUAACCUCAUCAAACGGAAGGGAAGAAUGCAUGUUCUAGAGUUGAAAAUGUUACUGGUUGAAUCAUGCUCCCCAAAAGACGCGUUAAAGUCCCCACCCCAGUGACCUCAGAAUAUGACUUUAUUUGGAAAUAGGGUCCUUCAGAUGUAAUUAGUUAAGAUAGGGUCAUACUGGAGGAAGGUGAACCCCGAAUCCCAUAUAACUGGUGUCCUUCUUGGAAGAUAGACAUGUGAAGAAAUGGCCCAAAGGGAGGUCACCAGGUCUAAGAUGGCAGAGGUUGAAGUUAUGUGGCUGCAAGCCAAGGGACACCAAAAUUCCUGGGACACCAUUAGAAGAAAGCAAAAGGCCAGGAAGGGUUCUCCUACCAAUUUCAGAAGGCACCUGACCCUGCUGACACAAUACACUUAUGUUUUCUAAAAACCACCUACUGGACUGUCUGUCCUAUGUUAUGGUAGCUUUCAGAAACUUGCAGAAGAGAGUCUCUUUUUCCUGGAACAGAUAGAAAUGGCAGCUAUGUUGUAACCAUGAGGAGAACCAACCUGAGGCGGAAGCUGAAAUAGGAUGACAUCUGAGACAAUCACCGGUGAGUCCUGACCUUCCAAGCCUGGAAUCUUCCCAGCUUCUAAGCUCCCUUUAGGAAAUCAUUGACUUCAUUACUGGACCAUCCAGCCUGAGGGAUACUUUCCUGAUACUUCCAAAGAAAGACACUCACACAUACUCAUACAGAUACAUACGGUGUGAUAUACCUUGAUUUCACACACAAGUCCUGGACCUUGAUUUAUUCACGAUUUAUGGUUGCGUGUCAUUUUCUGUUUCAUACAAGAAAAUAGAGCUGUUUCCCAGCUAACUUCAAUUCCUCUAGGACCAGCGUUAGGCUGUGCAUUAUGUAAUAUGCAGAGCUCUGAAUAUAGGAACUGCUCCAUAAACACUGAUUCUGUUUUAGCACCUACCACUCUACUUUGUAAUUAUUCAUUAAAUUCUCCUAUCCCUUGGUCUGCUCUUGGGUCCAGGGAUAUGUCUUAAUGCUGUAUUCGUAGCACUGAGAUCAUGGUAUCUAAGAAAGUAGGGAAGAUCAAAUGAAGGAAUAGUUGCGUUUUUUAGUAAAAUCUUGAAAUAUUAUUACUUAAUAGCUUUCCUCUGUUUUUUUUUAAUCUCAAGUCCCCCUCCUUCAGUCUAUCCUCGCAAUAGUACAGAAACAACAAUGAUAUGUUCUAUUCGUCUCUGCAUUCUUAGACCUCGGAGUAGCCAGGUAGACUCAGGAUGGGAAUGAGGAAGGGAGGUCCUUCCUCUGUUGCUGUUAAUAGCAUCCACGGCAAUAAAUUAGAAUUUCCCCAUGAGCAAGAAACAAUUUCCUCUUUUGAGUUUGAUGAAUGUUCAGCUAUAGAUAUACUACUGAUAACAUUACAAAGCUUUCUUAUGCCCUUCAGGAUAAAAUUUAUUUUAAGGUGUGCUAUAGGAAAGCACUCCGAGUCGCUUCUGCUCUGGAACACUUGGGUUUUCUACUUCCCCAUUUCUCCUUGUUCUCCCAUAUUUUUUGUUGUCUUGGUUUGUCUGGGACUUUCCUGGUUUUAGCACAAGGUUUACCUGUAACAGGAAAUCCCUCAGACCCAGGCAAACUGGAACAGUUGGUUACCCUCUCUCUUACUCUCCUUUCCUCUGUUUGACUGACAUGGGAGAAAAAAUGACAAGCAAUAUCAAUUUCUGCAGGAAUAGAGUUGGCAUGAAGUUGAAUAAGUGGAUGAAUGAAUGACCAAAUAAGGCAACCUGACACAGAAGAACUUUGCAGUUAGGGACAUGUGAACCGAAACCUCAGAUCAGUCAUGUAUUCCUCUGGGACCUGAUUCCACAGGUUUUACUUCUCUGAGCCUCAGUUUCAUCAUGAGCAAAGGGCUGGGGAUGAGGGAUGGCAAAAUGUAUAUCCCUGCCUUGUCGUAGGAGUAAAACCAGACCAUCAGCUCAUUAGCAACCAUUAAAAUCCUUGCAUACAUCUUCUGUGUUGCGUUAAUUAUGGCAAGACCAGUGUCUUGGUCAGCUCAAGCUGCUGUUAAAAAAAAAGUACCAGAGCCUGGGUGGCUUAAACAACACCAUUUGUUUCUAAAAGUUCUGGAGGCUGGGAAGUCCAAGAUCGAGGUACCAGCCAACUGGGCUCCUGAUGAGCAUCCUUUUCCUGGUUUGCAGAAGGCUGCGAUCCUGCUGUAUCCUUAGGUGGUAGAGAGAGGAAUCAUCUUUCUAUUUUCUUUUCAUAUAAGGGUGUUCAUCCCAAUCAUGGAAGAUCCACCUUAGAACCUAAACCCUUCUGGAGACCCUACCUCCAAAUACCAUCACACUGAGGAUUAGGGCGUCCAUAUAUAUUGGGGUGGGGGGUGGGGAAAAGACAUUCAGUCUAUAGUGCUCAAUAUCCGGAAGACAGCAGCUACCCAAUAGAUGUUUGUGUAACUAACAUAAUAUAUGCAAAAUGCCUAACAAGUAUUUUGUUUUUGCUAAAUGCCAAUAAUGUUUAAUGUCAUUGUUAUUAUCAUUCAAAUGAAUAAAAAGUGUCUUGAGCAUCCCCAAAGCACAAGUUGCUUUGAUUAGACCUGGCAGAGAUGAACCAGAGGAAAGUAAGCUGUAUUCUGAUUAUAGGGUAGAGGUCUUGCACUCCUACCUAUAAUUCAAAAAGCAAUAUAACCCCCAAUUAAGGCUUGAAGUUCCAGGCAUAGAGUAUGUAUUCAAUAACAUAAGAAUGAGAUCAUGGAAAACUAAAUAAAAAUAUGAAAUUUUGAAUUGAUACAAUGAUCAGAUUGAAAAGCUGAAAGGGGAAGUUCCCCUUGUGGUUCAGUGGGUUAGGAACCUGACAUAGUGCUUGUGAGGAUGCAGGUUCGAUCCCUGGCCUUUCUCAGUGGGUCAAAGCUGCGGCUGUGGUGUAGGCUGGCAGCUGCAGUGCCCAUUCAAACCAUAGUGGUGCUUCUUUCUCUUUCUACUCUCCAACCCUCGUGCAUUAAUCCAUCAGAUACUUUCAGCAGAUAAUUGCUGAGAGCCAUGUGCACAUGCCACUGACUGCUGAGAUACAACUGAGGGCAAACUCACACCUGAGUUUGCCUUCAUAGAGCUUAAGAGUGACAUAGACCCUCAUUAAAUAGCUACCUAGAUAAGGGAAGAAGGAACAGGGCAAAUGCUACAUAAAAAGUAUAUUGUUCCAAAAGACCUUCUACAUGUGGGUUCUGACCCAGUCCAAGAGUUCAAAAAUGGUACCCAGGCAAAGAACAGUCUGGGCUGAGUCCCUAAACAUGGAUGGGAAUGAGAUUGAUGAGGAGACAGAGGAAAUUUCCUCAUUUGGAAAUGAGGAAGGCAGAGGAGACAGAGGAGAUUUCCCUUAUUUGGCCCAUAGAGUUAGCAUUUAGAAGGGACUUCGCAUCAGGAAAGAACAUGGAGAGGGCAGAGAUCUGGAAGGCCAGCAUGGCUGGAGUUUGGAUCGAGGUACGAAAUGAGCCUUGCAGAGUGGGUAGAUGUCAGAGAGAGAACCUUGAGAACCAGUUCAAGGAGCUUUGGCACUUUUCCUCCAACACAGGAAAGAUGAUACAGGGAUACAGAAUUGUUUAAAAAAAAAAAAAGGCUACAGGAUCAGAUGUACAGUCUGUAACUUCCUCAGGUUGUGUAUAAUCCAUUAACAAAGGGUCCAAGGAGAUGACAACAGACUGGCCAAGGGAUCAUCAUCAUGGUUGGACUAGCGAAGGUUGGUAGAAAUAGAGAGAAGACAUGGAAACAAUCCAAAUGUCCAUCGACAGAUGAUUGGAUUCGGAAGAUGUGGUAUGUAUACAAAAUGGAAUACUACUCAGCCAUAAAAAAGGAUGACAUCAUGCCAUUUGCAGCAACAUGGAUGGAACUAGAGAAUCUCAUCCUGAGUGAAAUGAGCCAGAAAGACAAAGACAAAUACCAUAUGAUAUCACUUAUAACUGGAAUCUAAUAUCCAGCACAAAUGAACAUCUCCUCAGAAAAGAAAAUCAUGGACUUGGAGAAGAGACUUGUGGUUGCCUGAUGGGAGGGGGAGGGAGUGAGAGGGAUCGGGAGCUUGGGCUUAUCAGACACAACCUAGAAUAGAUUACAAGGAGAUCCUGCUGAACCGCAUUGAGAACUAUGUCUAGAUACUCAUGUUGCAACAGAAGAAAGGGUGGAGGAAAAAACUGUAAUUGCAAUGUAUACAUGUAAGGAUAACCUGACCCCCUUGCUGUACAGUGGGAAAAUAAAAAAAAAAAA